CACUAUUCAUAAUUGUAAAUAAAAUUAAAAAUUUACCAGAGUACUAUGAAUAUACAUAUAUAAAAAAUUUAAAACUCAAAGGGCUUGGCGGUGUUUUAGACCUAUCAGGGGAACCUGUCUCAUAAUCGACAAUCCACGUAGAACCUAACCCUAUUUUGUAUUCAGUUUGUAUACCGUCGUCGUCAGGUAACUUUUAAAAAACUAGAAGUUAGCACCAAAAAUAAGAAUAGAUUAAUACGUCAGAUCAAGGUGCAGCUAAUAAAAGGGAGAGGAUGGGUUACAAUUAUAUAAUUUAUAAUUACGGAUAGUUAAGUGAAAAAAUAACUUAAAGGAGGACUUGAAAGUAAAAUAAAAUAUAUAAACAAUUUGAAUAAGGCUCUGAAACGUGC
rnacentral:rRNA from 1 species